rnacentral:rRNA from 1 species
CCUACGGGAGGCAGCAGUGGGGAAUAUUGCACAAUGGGGGAAACCCUGAUGCAGCGACGCCGCGUGAGUGAAGAAGUCAUUCGUUAUGUAAAGCUCUAUCAGCAGGGAAGAAAAUGACGGUGCCUGAGUAAGACUCCCCGGCUAACUCCGUGCCAGCAGCCGCGGUCAUACGUAGGGGGCACACGUUAUCCGGAUUUACUGGGUGUAAAGGGAGCGUAGACGGCAGUGCAAGACGGGAGUGAAAGGCGGGGGCUCAACCCCCGGACUGCUCUGGAAACUGUACGGCUGGAGUGCAGGAGAGGUAAGUGGAAUUCCUAGUGUAGCGGUGAAAUGCGUAGAUAUUAGGAGGAACACCAGUGGCGAAGGCGGCUUACUGGACUGUAACUGACGUUGAGGCUCGAAAGCGUGGGGAGCAAACAGGAUUAGAUACCCCAGUAGUC